AUUUUAAAAAUCAACUGGGAUGGCGCAAAAAAUAAGAUGCUUUGAAGGAGGAAAUCUUAACUUACGAGGCCUAUGAAGCAAAUUUUAAGCAAGCCUUCCACAAACGCAAAGCUUACUUUUAUAGAAAAACUUAUAAAUUAA